rnacentral:siRNA from 1 species
GACCGACGCCGGCGUUGUAGGAGC